ACAUCUGCUGUUGUGUGAGUUGCGCGUUCCUUUCCUUAAUAUUAUUCAAGAGCUGUAGUUAUUAGGUGGUUACGUGACAUACCGUAACCGUUUUAGCUGUCGUCCACAUCCGGUCUUACGUAUCAUAAGUCAUCUGAGAUCAGACUCAUCACUUGGCAGUGUGGUGAAGUUCAAUUUCAUUAUGGUGGAUAGUUUAGGAAACACGUUCGUCGUAGGCCAACAGAUGGCUUAUGGAGGAAUCAAUCAACGUACUUGUCUUAAGGAACGGAUUCCGACACGAUUAAUCCGGACCUAUAGCUUGUAAGCUUAUUGCUUAAUGUCGACAGUCAAGAUAAUAGAACGCCGCGCCAACUCGCACGUGCGGUCGACUUUUCUACUAAGACGCGAUUUGUAUUUAGUUUUAAUAUAAACAAUAAAAUAAUGUUAUACCUAUU